rnacentral:rRNA from 1 species
UACGUAGGGAGCAAGCGUUGUUCGGAUUUACUGGGCGUAAAGGGCGCGUAGGCGGCGCGGUAAGUCACUUGUGAAAUCUCUGAGCUUAACUCAGAACGGCCAAGUGAUACUGCAGCGCUAGAGUGCAGAAAGGGCAAUCGGAAUUCUUGGUGUAGCGGUGAAAUGCGUAGAUAUCAAGAGGAACACCUGAGGCGAAGGCGGGUUGCUAGGCUGACACUGACGCUGAGUGCGCGAAAGCCAGGGGAGCAAACGGG